rnacentral:rRNA from 1 species
CCUACGGGUGGCAGCAGUGAGGAAUAUUGGUCAAUGGACGCAAGUCUGAACCAGCCAUGCCGCGUGCAGGAAGACGGCUCUAUGAGUUGUAAACUGCUUUUGUACGAGGGUAAACGCAGAUACGCGUAUCUGUCUGAAAGUAUCGUACGAAUAAGGAUCGGCUAACUCCGUGCCAGCAGCCGCGGUAAUACGGAGGAUUCAAGCGUUAUCCGGAUUUAUUGGGUUUAAAGGGUGCGUAGGCGGUCGGAUAAGUUAGAGGUGAAAUCCCGAGGCUCAACUUCGGAAUUGCCUCUGAUACUGUGCGGCUAGAGAGUAGUUGCGGUAGGCGGAAUGUAUGGUGUAGCGGUGAAAUGCUUAGAGAUCAUACAGAACACCGAUUGCGAAGGCAGCUUACCGGCGCUCAACUGACGCUCAUGCACGAAAGUGUGGGUAUCGAACAGGAUUAGAUACCCGAGUAGUC